GACGUGAUGAAGAGUGGUCCUU
rnacentral:siRNA from 1 species